rnacentral:rRNA from 1 species
UACGGGGGGUGCAAGCGUUAUCCGGAAUUACUAGGUUUAAAGGGUCUGUAGGCGGUAUAAUAAGUCAGAGGUAAAAGACAUUAGCUUAACUAGUGAGCAGCCUUUGAUACUAUUAUACUAGAGAUUAGGUGACGUUAGUGGAAUGUAUCAAGUAGCGGUGAAAUGCAUAGAUAUGAUACAGAACGCCGAUUGUGAAGACAGCUAACGAAUCUAAAUCUGACGCUGAUAGACGAAGGCGUGGGUAUCGAACAGG